rnacentral:rRNA from 1 species
GGGUUGUGAGGUUAAGCGACUAAGCGUACACGGUGGAUGCCCUGGCAGUCAGAGGCGAUGAAGGGCGUGCUAAUCUGCGAUAAGCGCCGGUAAGGUGAUAUGAACCGUUAUAACCGGCGAUACCCGAAUGGGGAAACCCAGUGUGACUCGUCACACUAUCAUUAACUGAAUCCAUAGGUUAAUGAGGCGAACCGGGGGAACUGAAACAUCUAAGUACCCCGAGGAAAAGAAAUCAACCGAGAUUCCCCCAGUAGCGGCGAGCGAACGGGGAGGAGCCCAGAGCCUGAAUCAGCAUGUGUGUUAGUGGAAGCGUCUGGAAAGGCGCGCGAUACAGGGUGACAGCCCCGUACACAAAAGCGCAUGUGCUGUGAGCUCGAUGAGUAGGGCGGGACACGUGGUAUCCUGUCUGAAUAUGGGGGGACCAUCCUCCAAGGCUAAAUACUCCUGACUGACCGAUAGUGAACCAGUACCGUGAGGGAAAGGCGAAAAGAACCCCGGCGAGGGGAGUGAAAAAGAACCUGAAACCGUGUACGUACAAGCAGUGGGAGCCCCACCACCAAAGCAUUUGCUGUACCGCGUUGACGGAGCGAAGCGACGUCAAACCGAUAAAA